rnacentral:rRNA from 1 species
GAAUAUUGGACAAUGGGGGGAACCCUGAUCCAGCCAUGCCGCGUGUGUGAAGAAGGCCUUUUGGUUGUAAAGCACUUUAAGCGUGGAGGAGGCUACUAUUGUUAAUACCUAGGGAUAGUUGACGUUACUCGCAGAAUAAGUCCCGGCCAUUUCUGAGCCAGCCGCCGCGGUAAUACAGAGGGUGCAAGCGUUAAUCGGAUUUACUGGGCGUAAAGCGCGCGUAGGUGGCCAAUUAAGUCAAAUGUGAAAUCCCCGAGCUUAACUUGGGAAUUGCAUUCGAUACUGGUUGGCUAGAGUAUGGGAGAGGAUGGUAGAAUUCCAGGUGUAGCGGUGAAAUGCGUAGAGAUCUGGAGGAAUACCGAUGGCGAAGGCAGACAUCUGGCCUAAUACUGACACUGAGGUGCGAAAGCAUGGGGAGCAAACA